CCAUCCUCUUCAUCAUGUUCACUAAGGCCGUCGUCGCUCUCGCCCUUGUGGCCGUCGCUCUGGCUGCUCCUUCACAGCCUUCCUACGGAUAUGCUCCUCCUGCUACCUAUGAUGCUCCUGCCAAGUACGACUUCAACUACGCCGUUAAG
rnacentral:lncRNA from 1 species